rnacentral:lncRNA from 1 species
UGGGGGAUACAGGAUUCUUUGCUGGGCAACGAUGCUUGUUGGUAUCCGAUACUUGGUGCGAAUUCCUUGAACGUUUUGUUCGUGGUAGCUUGUGCAAGUGAUUGUUCUGUCCAUACUAUCAUUUUUAUCCUAUAUUUUGAUAGAUUUUGUUGUAGCCACAUAUAUUGUCCACUCUAACCUAUUGGUCUUACGAUUUUAUCCUCCAAAAGAUGCCUUGCGUGAAAAUAAUGGUCUCUUCCUAUAUACGUCAAAAUUUUCUUUGACUCACAACCAAUGUGAGAUUAAUAAUGCCCUUCC